rnacentral:misc_RNA from 1 species
GAUGAAGAACGUAGCGAAAUGCGAUAAGUAAUGUGAAUUGCAGAAUUCAGUGAAUCAUCGAAUCUUUGAACGCACCUUGCACCCUUUGGCAUUCCGAAGGGUAUGCUCGUUUGAGUGUCAUUGUACUCUCACACUUCCAAUCUUUGGAUUGGGAGCAGUGGACUUGGGUGUUGCUGCUUACUGUGGCUCACCUCAAAUCGAUUCGUGCACCUCUUGGUUGGACAUAGUACGGCGUGAUAAGUGUCUUCGCCGGCACCUCAGUAGAGGGUGGCUGAUCAGGAGCUCUGUGCUUUCCAACUGUCUUCAGACAACAACUGACAACUUGACCUCAAAUCGAGUAGGACCACCCGCUGAACUUAAGCAUAUCAAUAAGCGGAGGA